rnacentral:rRNA from 1 species
UGGGGAAUUUUGGACAAUGGGCGCAAGCCUGAUCCAGCAAUGCCGCGUGCAGGAUGAAGGCCUUCGGGUUGUAAACUGCUUUUGUACGGAACGAAACGGCUCCUUUUAAUACAAGGGGCUAAUGACGGUACCGUAAGAAUAAGCACCGGCUAACUACGUGCCAGCAGCCGCGGUAAUACGUAGGGUGCGAGCGUUAAUCGGAAUUACUGGGCGUAAAGCGUGCGCAGGCGGUUAUACAAGACAGGCGUGAAAUCCCCGGGCUUAACCUGGGAAUGGCGCCUGUGACUGUAUAGCUAGAGUGUGUCAGAGGGGGGUAGAAUUCCACGUGUAGCAGUGAAAUGCGUAGAUAUGCGGAGGAACACCGAUGGCGAAGGCAAUCCCCUGGACCUGUACUGACGCUCAUGCACGAAAGCGUGGGGAGCAAACAGG